rnacentral:rRNA from 1 species
CCUACGGGAGGCUGCAGUGGGGAAUAUUGGACAAUGGGCGCAAGCCUGAUCCAGCCAUGCCGCGUGUGUGAAGAAGGCCUUCGGGUUGUAAAGUACUUUCAGUGGGGAAGAAGGCCGUGGGGCUAAUAGCCUCGCGGAAUGACAUUACCCGCAGAAGAAGCACCGGCUAACUCCGUGCCAGCAGCCGCGGUAAUACGGAGGGUGCGAGCGUUAAUCGGAAUUACUGGGCGUAAAGCGCGCGUAGGCGGUCUGUUAAGUCGGUUGUGAAAGCCCCGGGCUCAACCUGGGAACUGCAUUCGGAACUGUCAGGCUAGAGUGCAGGAGAGGGAGGUAGAAUUCCAGGUGUAGCGGUGAAAUGCGUAGAGAUCGGGAGGAAUACCGGUGGCGAAGGCGGCCCCCUGGACAAACACUGACGCUGAGGUGCGAAAGCGUGGGUAGCAAACAGGAUUAGAUACCCUGGUAGUC